GUUGCCUGAUUGUAACAAAUGUCAGGCAACGUUAAACAGCCAACCUCAACGUUGAAUGUACGUUGCCAGCUGUACGUUCAAGUGAUGUCAUAAAUAAAUGUCACAGCAACGUCCUGACACCCACGUUGUGUCAACGUUGCGUGUAAACAUCAAUUUAACGUGUAAAUGGUAUCAAUGUAGCAACGUUACAAAACAGCACGUUCCCAGAACGUUGCCGGAUGUCACCAAUAUUGACAUUAAUGUGAUGCCAGGCUGCUGUAGCAUUUCGCAUGUAUACGUUCAUGCAACUAUAAGAUAUUGUAAUUUUCAACUGAACAUUCAUCUUUAUCAUACAGUGAGGUAUGGAGAUGUAUAGUGGUUAUGCAGUAAUUAAUAUCUUCUAAGGAACACCAUGUUAAAUUAUGUUUAUUAUGCUUCUCCACAGAUAAGAUCUGCUACAAAUUAUAUCAAAUGGCAGAAGCAUUCACAUGGAAAAAAUGCUAAUUGUUGCAAUGGUUCACCUAUAGUGACAAAGUUACGCAUAAAAGUAUUCCCUUCUUCCACACCAAAUGCACAAGACUUUGUGACUGCUUGCACGCCACAUGCCCCUAAAAGUGGAAACAUUAAGCAAGGGCCAUCAUGAAUAGGCACAAGCCCCAUGAUACGAGCUGCAUAAGAAUGACGAACACAUGCACACUGCACAGUGGAUACACACAGAUCAUAUCUACUUGUUCAUAUAAAAAACAGUGCAUUUUUUCAGUUCAAGUAUAGUUUACAUCAUAGAAACGGCACUAGAGCAAAGGACUAUAAGCCACCAAUAGGGCUGCAAACACACCGUACACCAGCGCACAUUUGUUUCACACACCACACAGGACACAUGCACGCAGCAGACAUGUUUUUUUUAGGAGGAAUCUUCGCGAGCCGCACGAUAAACACAGAAGGUACGGACGACAGGAGUAAAACCCGCGCACAUUCAACACACCGACACGAAAGGAAAUGCGGACGAUACGGGUGUAACCUGCGCCACACGAGCUAUCAACCCUCGUGGAUUUUAUCCUUUCCACCUGAAACAGUUACAACGCACACGAAAACAUCGAACACUGCACAUCUGUACCUCCGAUAUCGUGUCAACAAUUCCUGAGGCAACAAUUCAUGUUCACGACAUCAGAAAGUUAUCUAAAACUAAGUGACGGCGUAGGAAAAGUAGGCAGCAUCGCUAAACGUCAUGGAUUGGCUUCGAGACAGCUUCGAGACAGCCCCAACCGUUCAAAUCAGGCCACAGCGACGGCUUGAUAAGGAUAAUCGAAGCUGAUCUCGAAGGCCAUGCUUAUGCUGGCUGCAGAUGGCGGAAGCAAUUCAAAGGUAAAAUACGUUUUAGAAUUUCUUUCUACGCCAAACUAUAGUGUAAAAUAUAGAUUGUUCUACAGUUAUUUUGUCUCGCAACAUCUAUACGUAGUUGUGUGUAACCCGGCACAAAAUUUUAGUAUGCGAGUGUACUGGUUAAUAUUUUUGUCAUCAAAGAGGCCACAACAUUCUCACAAGUAUGCAGGUGGCGCUAUUGUUUUUCCUCCGUGUUCUGUGAUGGCGGUCGUAUGUGCGGGGUGCUACGAGCGUCGCGUUUGCUUGAUCGUGUGUUUUUGUGUUUGCUGUUAUGAAGUAGGUCGCAGUUAGCGUGCACAGAAGUGCCUGAAGAUACCUUGUGUCACGCUGCAAACUCGCCGUAUGCGUGGCGCGCCAGGCAAAUGUGGCCCAACGAUUUUAUGCCGUGGAGUGCGGUCUCUUUGUUCUCGUUCUGGAAAGUUGGGUGGACGUCGCAAAGAAUGUAUGUUAGCGCGCCUCAGCUCGUCCACUACGCAGCGGCAUGUAUGCGAGGAGUAACAUCGUCGACGCAGCACCGGCAACUUGGAGAGUGCUUCGCGACCGCGUCGUACCAUUCAAAAGUGGCGAGGCUGUGACCCAUAACAGUGCCUACAUAACGGAGGAGCCACCAGACCCCUUGGCUAUGCCUGCCGUAGUGCAACGUAUAAUCUGGAUGGUCGGGUCAGGUACACCUAGGAAAUGUUGUAUACAUUGGCAACGAUAACUGGGGCCUGUUCCAGUGCCAUCGCCGGGAUUCCCUGUUCUGCAAAGAACUGACAUAACUGAUGUGGGGAGCCCUGGCGCUCGGUGUAGGAGUAUCACAGGGGCUCCUUGUCGAUGCUUGAAGGACGGCAAUGCUGUUGAGAAGCCGACAUUGAGCCCCGAUAAAUUGGAAGCUGUGGGUAGUUACCGCAUUAUUGACUUGGAAACCAGUGAGGUCUGGAUGCAAGUGAAGCUACCGAGGGAGGCAUGUGUGCAUCACUUGUGCUGCUGGCCAUCCUCUGCAAAAGUGAUGGCUGGCAGUCAGUGCUUGGAUGACUUUCUGUUACUCUACGCCUUGGGCUGUGUUGACUACUUCACACUUGCUGCCAUGUCUGCAAGCUUAGGCAAAAAGACCGGCUGGAUGCUUGGCAGGAGAUAGUAUCCAACCGCAGUGUUACUGUGUUGUGUUGUACAUUACAAAGUGAUGGAGGACAGUAUUUGUGCUGUUAUUAAGAAGUAUAAAUUGUGUUCUGCCAUUGAAAUAAGGGAACUCGACACAAAGCAAAAGAUUUCGAAGUCUGACCUACAUGGGAAAGCAAAAUAUAUUGUGUUAUAGUUGUAGCUGUUAGUAGAGUCUUAAUAUGCGAUAGAAGACCUUGGUGUUUAAUAGAAAAUAUAUUUAAGUGUGUUAUCAGUGUGUUAUCAGUGUUUAAGUUACUGUUAUGUGUCAUUUGUUUGCCAGGAUGAUGUAAGCAGACAGCAAAUAAAU